CUCCUUCUCAUUCAAAAAAAUCUGUGACUCUCUAUCUCUCUCCCCCCACUCGCCCCUACUACCAAUUGCAACCAUCGUCAUCGGAAACCAACUAACCGACCACCCUCUACUCCCGCGCCCUUAUCACUUAAUCAAUUUCCCCCAAUGUUUCAAAUCUACAAUCUGUCUUCUACCUUCAUUUGACACAUGCUAUUCGUCACUAUCACUGCCUCCUAAGGUCCUUUUCCGAUGGAACUCUCCUUCUGAUGCCUAUAGGAAUUUUGCCACCAAACUCGCUAAAACAUAUGGGGCAUUUAGCUCAUAGUGCAUGGUGGUGGACUAAAAAUGAAAAUCAAAGUUCAAAGUUCAACCACUUCGUGAAUUGAUACAGUAGCCUUGUCAUCAGUGAAGGUUCGUCGUCGGAACUCAAGAUUAACUUUGGUGUCGAAAAUAACUGCCCAAUGAAAGAGAAGUCGGUAGUAUUUGUUAUAGUUGACUGUGGAAGACGGGUGGUGGUGAGCUGUGAAAGGGAUUAAGAUGGAUGGCUCCAGAAGAUGGGAUGAUGGUGGUUGAUUGUGGAAGAUGGGUGGUUGUGGACUAUGAAAUGAAUGAAGAUGGAUGCUAAUGGUGGAUUUGAAGUGAAGGUGGUGGUGAUGGUUUGAGGCAGAUGAGGUGGUGGUUGUUGUGAAUUUGAAAAGAAGGUGACGGUGGUGCAUCGUGAAUUUGAGGUGACAAUAAUGAUUUGAAUAGUGCUGAUAGUAGUGGGUGGGGUGGGUGAUUUGGGUGAUGAUAUGUUAAUUUGUAAUUUUUAAAAAAUUUGAGACCAUUGUUGCAAUUAAUUUUUUAACCUUUCGUUUCAUUUCUUUUUGUUUUAUUUGAAUAGGAAGGUAAAAUUAUCUUUUUAUUGGUAAAAUGGAUGAAAAUGACAUUUGCUGCAAUGAAAGGUAAAAAUUCCAAAAAAUAAAAUGUAUGGAUGUUUUGCAUAAUGAUAUUGAAAGGUAUGGACGUUUUGUACUAUUUACCAUAUUGUUCUAGUUCAACCACUGUGUCUAUUUAUAGGCCUAUGGUUUUGCUUGUUCUAGUUUCAGUUGAAUUAGGACUUCCUGAGCUCUUAAAUUCCAAGCUCUAAACAUGAUAAAAUUUCUUUUACGACUUAAAAUUACCCAACUAUGUAAAACGAAUUUUGACUUGGUCAACUAUGUAACAUCUCUAGUGCAGUUGAAUCCUUAUCGAUUUAUGGAGCUACCAAAAGGAUCUAAUUGAACCUAUACAAUUCAAGUUUCAAUGAUUCGACACAAUCACUCACCCAGACCGUAUAGUCUAAUUAUUAAUUUUGGCUUACUCCACUGAAUGCAAAAUGUUGAUAUCUUGAAUUUGCAUAAGAUGAAUAUUUUUCUCUUAGUAAUUACACUAUCAAACUUACCAUUUUCAAGUCUUAUCCCGUCAGACAUCCAUUAAUUGGAGUCGGGGUAAAACGAUUUUUUGCCCCAUGGUUAUUUUCUUACAUUUUCUACAUUUUCUCUGAACAAAUUAUUGGUGUCAUUUAUCCGUCACUAAGCACCUGUUUGGCAUUCAUUUUAAUGAAUUUUCUUCAGGAAAAAUAAGUUUUGGAAUAGUAUUUUUCGAGAAUGUGGGAUUAAAAAGUAGGAAAUGUUUUGAAUUUUCGUGCAAAAUAUUUUAUUAUGUGGAUAUAAGAUUAAAAGUAAGCUUGAGAAAAAAUGAAUUUUGAUUUAAUGGACGUCGAAUAUGGCCUAAACUUGGGUGUAGAUUAAAGCCGCUCAAUAGAAAAAAUUACACAACCCAAACUCUUUUGCACUAUUAUAUAAGCAACUGUUUCCUAAUACAAAUAUGUGUCCACUACCUCUUUUACUUUAAGCUCCCAUCGCAAAGAGAUAUUUGACCUUAUUAUUUAUAAUCUCACUCAUUUGUGUAUUACAGACUCUCGAGCGUAAGAUUUCCUAACACCUAAUUGGCCAUUGAACUUUACAUAAAGUUUUCAAGGGUCCUUCUGGAACUUCAAAAGUUUGCAAAACGCAAUACCCUCCAUUACUCACUCAACGAACAAUUAAAAAAUUGAUGAACUUGUUGAUGUGACAGACGAAAUUGUGUACGUGACAACAAUCUAUUUCCACUUGGCGUCUACGUCAUUUACAGUUUAAAAAUUGAGUGAUGGACGGGAUAACGAAUUACGAAGUUCAGUGAUUAAUGGGGUAACUUUUAAAAGUUCAGAGACCUGAUGAAAACGUUAUGCAAAGUUUAGUGAUGAAUCAAGUAAUUACCCCCCCCCCCCCCCGCUUUUUUUUCUUUGUUUGUUUUGGUACUCUUACAUCACUCACAAUAUUAUUCUCUCUAGUAUCGCUAAAGUACACUGAUCGCUUAAUAGUAUUCUACUUUGGAAUUUAUAUACGUCUUCAUCUAAGAAUCUAAUAGAUUUUUUAUAUUUAUUCAAGUGUAUCCUGAUGGAAAAACGAUCAAAGCUAAAGCAGUCCAUGAAACUAUCACACACCACUACAGAGUUCACAAAAAAAGGAGAUGAAAUAGCAUUGCCUCAAUCUUUGCUUAGACUCUAGGGCUCGCUACAUGUAACUAAAUUUAAUUUUGAGUCUAACAAUUUGCCAUAAAGAAAUACAUUAUUUUAAGUAUCUAAUGACAUGAAUGCCAAGUGAAAAAUAAAUUGUCACGUACCCAAUUUCGUAAGUCACGUAAACAAAUUCGUCAAUUUUUAGUUGUCCGUUGAGUGAGUGAUGAAUGAGAUUACAUUUUGCAAAAUUCAAUGAAUAACGAGGAAACUUUGAAGUUUAGUGACCCCCUGAAAAUUUUACCACAACGUUCAGUGACCAAUUAGGUAGUUAACCGUAUACAAGAUUUCAAGUAAUAUAUAAGGUAGUCUUGUAGAGUUUAAUUUUAUAACUAGACCUUAUAGAAAAUUAAACUCUAUAAAGUGAUCAUGUCAAAUAAACUUUCAAGUACACUAGUAUCACCGCUCUAGAGUUCCACUCACUAUGGUCAAGUCAAAUCAUUCACUCUAAUUGGUAGAGUAGUCGGCUCUAUAAUUUUAUCAAGACAAGUUCCAACCACCGUUCAUCGGUCUAGGACUUACCAAUUCUUGUUCGAUGUGUAGCAUCUGUAUUUGCUUCUUUACGCUAGCAUUCUUUUAUUACCGCAAAACAAUCGAAGAUCCUUCAUUGCAUGCUCAAUUAUAUUAACCUUACGCGUUAUUCGAAUAAACAAAUAAUGUAUUAUUUAUUCAAAAACAAAUAAUUUUCUAACAAUUAGAGCAACAGUUAUUAGUUUUGAGCACACAUUUUUAUUAAAAAUAUUUUAUUAAGUUAGUAAUUAUCUUGAAGGAUACCUAGCUAAAUAGUUUUAUUUUCAAAAUUUAGGAUAUAGUAAUCAUAUUCACAUCACAAUUUUUAUUUAUUGCAGUACAUUUUAUUUGUAAAUGUACUCAAUCUGUACUCAUUACAGCAUUUACAUUCUCAAUAUUUUUUCACCUUCUUACCAACUUUCAUUAUUUAGCAUAUCUUAUCUCUGAUAUCAAUUUUUGUCCAAAAACUCCAACAUUUCACUUUAUUUUACAAAAAAGAAGAAGAAGAAGAAGAAGAAGCAAAUGUUGCUCUAAUCUCAAGGGCCCCCCAUCCAGAAACGUCGUAAAAUGAUGUAUUUACCCAUGAUAACUAUAGAAAGCAAUAAAUAGAAAAGUACAACAAACAUUUUUUCUCAUUUUAAACCACAUAAACAUACAAACUGUUAUCAAGAACAGGAAAUUCUAAAUAAAAAAAUUUGAAAAUAACAAUUUAACGAAAAAAUAAGAACAUAAAAUUGCAACAAAUAAAAAUUAUCUUGCCAUUAUAACCACAACAAAGGAUAUUUUAAUUAUUUCUUUAACUAGUGUCUAUUGCUAUUCAUCUCUCUGUAUCGCCAAUAUGAAAUUGUCACAUCAUGUAAGGUUUCAAACUAUUAAAAGCAAGAAAAGUGUUUGGAAAAUUUGGUGAUUUGUGUGUAGAUGAACAUAUCAACUAAAAAAAUAUAAAUAACAUAAUCAAUAAUUGCAUAAACAUAACAAUAUUAUAACAAUAUAAACAUUAUAAUUCAAGUAAGAAGAUGGAUAGAAUGCAAGCUUUGGGAAGUCACAUCAAUGAUUAUGUCCUAAAGUCAUGGUGCUUCCCCUUCGUGUUGGUACUUUCGGCGCUACACGGCUUUAAGAUAAAACACUUGUGGCUCGUAGCCAAUUCUCCUUCUAAGAGCACAACCAUAGGGAAAUAAGUGAACGAUCCUCUCAUCGAAUUACCAAAAUAGUAUAUUGUAAAAGUAUAGAGAGAAUAAUACUUCAAGUUAUUUUAUUCUAGUUCUCAAGCUUUCUUUUCAUAUUAUGUUUUUUCAUCUCAAUGAAAAUCAUUCCCUUUUAUAGGGAUAAAUUAAUUUUAACCCACGCUUAUGAGAAUCAAGUUGUUUAACUUGUAUGUUAUACUAUACAGAAAAAUAAAUUUAACCUCCCACACUUAUGAGAAUUAAGUCAUUUUACAUAUAUGUUACAAUGCAGGGAUAAAUAAAUUUAACCCCUCACUCAUAAGAAUUAAGUCAUUUAACAUGUAUGUUACACUAUAAUAUUAUUAAUUUAAUUUUGAAUUGAAUUGAUAUUAAAAUGGAAACAACAAAUUUAAAAAUAUUAAUUUGAAAAUUUAAAACUUAAAUUAUUUAUUUUUCAACAAUCUCUCACAAGUUUUAAACUUUCAAAAUAGAUAAAUAUAUAAUAUAUAGUGGCAACGUUAUAUAGUGUAAUAGGUGUAGGUGUCUUUUGGACUUAAACCUCACUUAGUGAUAACAAUUUUCAUUUAAAGGAAUCAUAAUGGACUAAGCCUUAAAUUAGGCCCCUUUGGCCAAACCUUAAUUGUCUCAUACACAAUAUCGAUUUAGUCUCUAAUUCAAAGAUGAUAGCGUUUUUAAUGGUCAUGCGCUCUAAUCUUGAUACUAGUAAGAAUCUCUAGGAAAUAUUUCAAUCUCAUAGCCACGGUCUCAUAGCAACUCUUACAUAGGUGAGUUCUCCAAAGGUUGCGAGAAUUCUCGCUUCGAUACUCAUUCAAAGUUAUAUACUUCCUAACAUCACAUUAUUAUUGACACUAUCACUAUAAGGAUGAGCACAAAUAAUAUAGUAUUAUUACAAAUCAUGUAGUACGGGUUGUUUCUACUAUAUUGAACAUUCUUCAUGAGAUCUCCAAUUACAAAGAUUGUGUUACUCUCGGAGUUGACUCCCUUAUGGGUCUAAAGCCCAUUCCCUUCGAUGAUGCAUGUAUGUCCAUCUCGGACCACAAUUUAUUUACAUCCCUCUUGGACAAUAAUUUGAUGCCAUCAAUUUGUAAGGCUCUUAUUCUCCCCUUGCACAUCGACAUAUUUGCAGAGUCUUUUAACUUUCCAAAACAUCAGUAACACAUAUUUAGUUAUAAUAAUAUAAACAUGCGAAAUUUAGAAAUUGAUUUCUAGUAGCACAUUCAAACAAAUGCAUUCGUUCAACUCUUAUAUUCGCCUACAGAUCUACAAAUUUCAUUUUUUAACACUUUUCAAAAGUUAUUUUUACAUCUAAGGAUGAUAAAAUAUAUAAGAUCCACAUAUUUUAAAUUUUAAAUACCCUACAUUUGAAAGAUAUCCAACUUGUAGCAAUUUUUUUUUUUUUUUUUUUACCAUAUUUCAAACUGGCCUUCCUCAUACAUAUAUGAUAGGAUAUCGCUCACGAUAGAGCAGGAAAAUAUCAUCUAAUAAAUAUGUGAAAUUCAGUGUUUAUGACUAUUGGUCAAAAUUAAUUAAAUAGAUUAUCACUUAAUCUAUUUGAUAAUACCUUUAUGAGUGUAGCGAUUAAGUUUGUCCAAAUAUAAAUAAUUACAAAUUCUCCAACUUCGACAGCAUAAUCAUACGCAAUUAUGUUUAUGUAUCACAAAAUAUUAGACAAUAUUCGUUAACAUAAUUGUUAGGAUCUUCCUCAAGCUGCUUAAGAUGAUUUUCGGGCUCAGUUAACCUUUAAAACACCGAAUCAACACCAAAACUGAAGGUACCCGCCGCCGACCUCACAAGUGCUACCUAUGGUUGCUUUUCUUCCUUCUGCUUGUUGUUUGCUCACUCACAAAGAAUGAAUACCACACAGGUAAGGGUCACAAAGACACAAGCAAGAGGUAGACAAGAUCAAGGAGUAGAAUGCACGAAGAAGAAGAAGACACGGCCUCUCUCUCUCUCUGGGGUUCUUUCACCAAAACGGGACCUUGGAAGGCUACGAGAGUUACCAAUAUAUAUAGUAAACCAAUGACAAACAAUAAGGUAAGUUAUACAUAUGGUAAGUGAACCCGACUAGGGUUAUGGCCCAAUAGCACACCAACAAGCCACAAAGGUUUAUUAGCCAUCCAAUAGGUAAAACAACGUUAAGUCGGGUCAUCCCAUUAUUCGGUGUUGAUUUAUCGUUCAGUCAUUCAUGUCGACUGAUAAAACUGGUUUACAUCAUCGCCCGGGAGGUCGUUUGACAACAUGAUGUUUAACAACCUCCACCUUGGUGUCAAAGGACAUGCAAAGAGAAAACGUUUUCCAUUAGUGACACCUCUAACAGAAAACCGAUAAAAUUGGAAAUCAUUUACCUGUACCGAUGUUUAGAAGCUCUUUUCAACUUCUAAACUUUACCAGUGGCAGCACUUUCUUGCCCAUAUCCGAAGGAUUAUAUUGUGUGUGAAUUUUUCAAGUCUUACUACUUCUUGUGAUAUUAUAUCCCUAAUGAAGUGUGGCCUAACAUCGAUAUGUUUAGUGCGUUCGUGAAAAAUAGGAUUCUUACACAGAUGUAUGGAUGACUGACUAUCAGAAUACACAACCACAUACUCAUUCAAGACACUUAGUUCAUGAAGUAGACCUCUAAGCCAUAGAGCCUCUUUAAUUGCUUCAGUGGUGGCAAUAUAUUCUGACUCUGUAGUGGAUAGUGCAACUAUGUGUUGUAACUGUGAUUUCCAACUAACACACGAAUUUGAUAAGGUGAAUACGUAAGAGGAAGUUGAUUUCCUACCAUCCCUAUCUCCUGCAUAGUCAGCAUCUACAAAACCCUUUAAUUUCACGCCUUCCUUAUUAGCACUAAAUUUUAGACCUACGUCACUUGUACCCUUCAAAUAUCUUAAAAGCCACUUUAAUGCUUCCCAAUGUUCAGGACCUGGAUUAGACAUGUACCUACUGAGAGUACUAACAGCGAAUCCUAAGUCCGGUCUAGUGCAAACCAUCAAAUACAUUAUGGAACCAAUCACAUUUGAGUAUGGAAUUUUACUCAUGUAUUCCACUUCACGUUCAUUGCAGGGAGCUUGUUCUUUAGAUAGAACAAAAUGGUUUGCAAGAGGCAACGUGACAGGUUUGCAGUCACUCAUAUUAAACNNNNNNNNNNNNNNNNNNNNNNNNNNNNNNNNNNNNNNNNNNNNNNNNNNNNNNNNNNNNNNNNNNNNNNNNNNNNNNNNNNNNNNNNNNNNNNNNNNNNNNNNNNNNNNNNNNNNNNNNNNNNNNNNNNNNNNNNNNNNNNNNNNNNNNNNNNNNNNNNNNNNNNNNNNNNNNNNNNNNNNNNNNNNNNNNNNNNNNNNNNNNNNNNNNNNNNNNNNNNNNNNNNNNNNNNNNNNNNNNNNNNNNNNNNNNNNNNNNNNNNNNNNNNNNNNNNNNNNNNNNNNNNNNNNNNNNNNNNNNNNNNNNNNNNNNNNNNNNNNNNNNNNNNNNNNNNNNNNNNNNNNNNNNNNNNNNNNNNNNNNNNNNNNNNNNNNNNNNNNNNNNNNNNNNNNNNNNNNNNNNNNNNNNNNNNNNNNNNNNNNNNNNNNNNNNNNNNNNNNNNNNNNUUUUUACAUCGAGUUGUUCAAGUUCCCAGUCAAAGAGCGCAACCAAUGCGAGCAUGACCCUAAUAGUAGUGUACUUGACAACUGGUGAGAAAAUCUCGUUAUAAUCAACACCUUCUUUCUGUGUGUAACCCUUCGCUACUAACCUAGCCUUAAAUCUUAAGGGUUCUGAACUACUAGUACCUUCCUUAACCUUAAAGACCCACUUGCAAUCAACGAUUGAUUUAUUCUUAGGUCUUGGUACUAACUCCCAAGUUUGAUUCUUUUCUAGAGAAAUCAUCUCUUCUUUCAUAGCCUUAAGCCACUCCUUAGAUUGACCACUAUUCAUAGCCUCUUCAAAAGUUUUCGGCUCCCUAUCAACUAGUUCUUCAUAACUAGCGUAUGCAAAAUCCAAUUCAGAUUCAAACCCAAACAUUCUAGGUUCUCUCGUUUGUCUUCUCUCUCUAUCCCUAACUAAAUUAUAGUUAGCUAAUGGAUUUUCUUCCUCAGGAUGCUCUUCUAUCACUACUUCAUUUUUCUCUUCAGGUUCUUGGACCUGAAUCUCCACCUCACUCAAAGUACUAGGUACUGAUGUGUUAAAUUUUCCUAACUCCACCUUAAACCGAUUUCUUUCCUCACCUGAUUCAGUUUCACUUACAGGUUCGGUUUCGUUCCUUAGACAAGGUAUCUCACUCUCAUUAAAUGUGACAUCCCUACUCACGAUGAUCUUAACUCCUUUUUGGCUUAUAUUCCAUAACCUAUAGCCCUUAACCCCUUCGGGAUAUCCUAGAAAGACACACUUUCUGGCUCUAGGUUCUAAUUUUCCCUCACUUUGAUGAGAGAAGACAGCACAGCCAAAAGCUUUAAGCAUUGAGUAGUCACCCAAUUUUUCAGAUCAUUUCUCAUGUGGAGUAUCACCAUUUAAUGCAGCCGAUGGAGUCAAAUUUAUCAGAUAACAGGCAGUUACAACGGCUUCACCCCAAAAUGACUUAGGAACCCCAUAACUUAACAUCAUGCAGCGCACUUUAUCUAGUAUGGUCCUAUUCAUUCUUUCUGCUACCCCGUUUUGCUGGGGAGUAUAGGGAAUCGUUUUGUGCCUUGUUAUUCCACUUUCUUUACACAUCCUAUCGAAUUCAGCAUUACAGAAUUCUAGGCCGUUAUCUAUCCUUAAAAAUUUGAUCCUCUUGCUAGUUUGAUUUUCCAUUUGUUUCUUCCAAUUGUUAAAGUUAUGCAAGGUUUCAGUUUUGUCUUUCAAUAAAUAGACCCAAACUUUCCUGGUGUAGUCAUCUAUGAUAGAUAGGAAAUACCUAUUACCACCCGAUGUGGGAUUACUAGCAGGACCCCACAAAUCAGAAUGCACAUAUUCAAGCAUGCUUUUAGCCUUAUGCGUACUAGUGGAGAACGACACUUUAUGGUGCUUUCCGAGCACACAGUGAUCACAGAACGAUAGGUCAAACACAUAGUCAUUACCAGAUGCAUCUUUUUCAUUAAAUAGCUUAAGUCUCUUAAUGCCUACGUGUGCAAGCCUACUAUGCCACGUAUAUGUGUUAUCGAUUUUGGCGGAAGAAAUAGAGGAGUUUAAUUCUCUAAUUAUUUCCCCAGUAGUGAUGUAAAUAUCGUUUUUCUUGAUUCCCUUAAUAGAGAUUAAUGCACCCUUCAUCAUUUUAAACAUAUCGUUUCCAAUUUUACAGGUGAAGUUGUCUUUCUCAAGUCUUCCUACUGAAAUCAAAUUCCUAGAUAAUUCAGGAAUGUAUCUAACUUCCUUUAACAUAUACACAAAGCCCGUGUUAAAUUUUAUCUUUAUAUCUCCAAUUCCAGCAAUUAUAUAGGCAAAGUUAUCACACAGAACUACUUGCCCAUCAUUAGAUUCUUGCAAGUUUUCAAACCAGUUCUUUUCGGACGUUACAUGAAAAGACGCACCAGAAUCUAAUAUCCAUUCAUGCAUGUGAGAAUUAGUAGUUAGAUUCAAUUCAGUAGUGUAUGCGACUGGACUAGUGAUCACAUAGACUUCACCGUUUUCGGUAUCGGAGGUAGAGGAUAACACAUUUACCUCAUCUCUUUCCUUAACCUUUUGUUUUCCCCUUUCUUUAUGGCAGUCUUUUAUAAAAUACCCUGUGCCUCCACAGCCAUAACAUUUUCUAGCCUUAGUUCUAGACUUUGACCUAGGUCUAACAUUGCCCUUCUUUUUCCAACUAUUACUACUUGAUUCGCCACUACUUUGGUAUCCAUCAUGACUGGCUUGCCUAAAUUGAGUUCUACCCCACAUCAUAUGCAACUCUCCACUCCUCCUAUCUUGUUUUUCAGUCCUCAUUUCCAUCUCUUUACUCCUAAGAGAAUCUACGACAAUUCAGGUGUUAACGUGUCCCUACCAUACUUAAUGACAUUCUUAACUUCUUUAUAAGAGUCCGGGAUUGAAUUAAACGAGCUUGCUGUUCAAUUGCAGUCAGCGUCACACCAGGGGCAAAAUCGUCCAACUUUUUCUGUGUAACCUGAAACACAAAACAAAGUAUAUCAGCGCGUUCAGGAGAUCGAAACAAGCAAGUUACCUGAAGAUAGCUUUGCUGGAAUGCCGCCCACGCGCCGUCGCUGCUCCGCCGCCGCCCACAUGCCACCUCACCAGGGGCGCCUCGACCUGCUGGUAAUGGGUAUGACCUCCGUUUGUCCAACCGAGCUUUGGUUUGUGAGUAAUUGAAGAAUUUCAGAUUUGGGUAAAAUGAUGAAAUUGCGAAAAUCAACCAAUUUUGAGCCGAUGUUAGGAUCUUCCUCAAGCUGCUCAAGAUGAUUUUCGGGCUCAGUUAACCUUUAAAACACCGAAUCAACACCAAAACCGAAGGUACCCGCCGCCGACCUCACGAGUUCUACCUAUGGUUGAUUUUCUUCCUUCUUCUUGUUGUUGUUUGCUCACUCACAAAGAAUGAAUACCACACAGGUAAGGGUUACAAAGACACAAGCAAAAGGUAGACAAGAUCAAGGAGUAGAAUGCACGAAGAAGAAGAAGAAGACACGGCCUCUCUCUCUCUCUGGGGUUCUUUCACCAAAACGGGACCUUGGAAGGCUACGAGAGUUACCAAUAUAUAUAGUAAACCAAUGACAAACAAUAAAGUAAGUUAUACAUAUGGUAAGUGGGCUCGACUAGGGUUAUGGCCCAAUAGCACACCAACAAGCCACAAAGGUUUAUUAGCCAUCCAAUAGGUAAAACAACGUUAAGUUGGGUCAUCCCAUUAUUCGGUAUUGAUUUAUCGUUCAGUUAUUCAUGUAGACUGAUAAAACUGGUUUACAUCAUCGCCUGGGAGGUCGUUUGACAACAUGAUAUCUAACAAUAAUCAUAAAGUAUCAAAUAUGGUUUAACAUGCCUUCAAAGAAUUAUAUCAAUAUAUUUAAAAUGGAUAAAUCUAGUUGUACAUAACUUUAUGUAUACACCAAGCAUAGCCCAUUUAGUAUUCUUAUGUUAACUUCCCUUAUUGAUAUUCCAAAGUAUAUCAAGACAUGUAACAUUCACAAACAAUUAGAUGCUUACUCACCAAAAUACAAUAAUGUAAGCCAACUAGUUCUCAAAAUAAUCUAGUCUUUAAAUUUUUUAUUUUUUUAAUAAUGAAAUUAACGGCAUGAUGAUAGUUAUUUGUAAAUCCUAUCAAAAUAAAGAUCAAUGGAUAUGAUAUCUAAAUAUCUCCAACUUAUAGUAUAUACAAUUUUAUAACCACAAUUAUUUAAGAGUUGGUUGCAAUAUUAUAUAUAAUGUGAAAAUAUAAAUCUUCUCUUGGAAACAUUAUUCUCAUAACUUAUAUUACCAAUUUGAUAAAAUAAAUCUUAAAACGGAUGGAAAUUAUCAAUACAAUAAAGGAUAAUUAGCACAAAACAUCCUUACCUUUCAAUACCAUUGUGCAAAAUGUCCAUACAUUUCAUUUUUUGGUAUUUUCACUCAUAUUUUCACAUUUCAUUGCGCAAAAAGUCAUUUUCAUUCAUUUUCCCAAUAAAAGACAAUUUUACCAUCCUAUUCAAAUAAAACAAAAAGAAAAAAAUAGAAGAAUAAAGAAUUAAUUGUAAAAAUUGUCCCAAAAUUUCAAAAAAAUUAUUUAACUUUCCAUUUCAAUAAUCCCCACUCCCUCUCAUUCAAAAAAAUUUGUGACUCUCUCUCUCUCUCUCUCUAUCCAACCAUCAUCACCGGAAACCAACUACCCUCACUCCUACGCCCUUAUCACUUAAUCAAUUUUCCCCCAGUGUUUCAAAUCUACAAUCUACCUUCUACCUUCAUUUGCCACAUGCUAUUCGUCCCUAUAAACCACUCCAAAGGUCCUUUUCAAGUGGAACUCUCCUUCCGAUGCCUAUAGGAAUUUUGCCACCAAACUCGUUGAAGCAUAUGGGACAUUUAGCUCAUGGCACAUGGUGGUGGACUAAAAAUAAAAAUCAAAUUUCAAAGUCCAACUGCUUCAUGAAUUGAUACAGUAGCCUUGUCAUCAGUGAAGCUCCGUCGUCGGAACAUAAGAUUAAUUUUGUUGUUGAAAAUAACUGCCCAAUGAAGGAGAAGUCGACGGUAUUUGUUGUAGUUGAUUGUGGAAGACGAGUUCUGGUGAGCUGUGAAAGGGGUGAAGAUGGAUGGCUCCUAAAGAUAGGAAGGUGGUGGUUGAUUGUGGAAGAUGGAUGGUUGUGGACUGUGAAAGGGAUGGUGGAUUUGAAGUGAAGGUGGUGGUGAUGGUUUGAGGCGGAUAAGGUGGUGGUUGUUGUGAAUUUGAAAAGAAG
rnacentral:lncRNA from 1 species